GUGCCAGCAGCCGCGGUAAUACGUAGGUGGCAAGCGUUAUCCGGAAUUAUUGGGCGUAAAGCGCGCGUAGGCGGUUUUUUAAGUCUGACGUGAAAGCCCACGGCUCAACCGUGGAGGGUCAUUGGAAACUGGAAAACUUGAGUGCAGAAGAGGAAAGUGGAAUUCCAUGUGUAGCGGUGAAAUGCGCAGAGAUAUGGAGGAACACCAGUGGCGAAGGCGACUUUCUGGUCUGUAACUGACGCUGAUGUGCGAAAGCGUGGGGAUCAAACAGGAUUAGAUACCCUGGUAGUCAAGGGCG
rnacentral:rRNA from 1 species